CGCACAGCUCAGUAGCACGUGGCUAACCUAACCUUGGGACGGGAGCACCCCCGGGAAACUGGGGCUAAUUUCCGAUAGGUGAAGACUCCUGGAAUGGACCUUCGCCUAAAGGGCGCUUAGGUCAUGCUUCUAGGCGUUGCCCAAGGAUGGGGCCGCGGCCGAUCAGGUUGUUGGUGAGGUAACGGCUCACCAAGCCUUUUACCGGUGCGGGCCGUGGGAGCGGGAGCCCGGAGAUGGGAACUGAGACAAGGUCCCAGGCCCUACGGGGCGCAGCAGUCGCGCAAACUUCGCAAUAAGCGAAAGCUUGACGGGGCCAUCCCGAGUGCCAUCUGCUGAGGAUGGCUUUUACCCAGUAUAGAUAGCUGGGAGAAUAAGGAGAGGGCAAGUCUGGUGUCAGCCGCCGCGGUAAUACCAGCUCUCCGAGUUGUAGGGAUGUUUAUUGGGCCUGAAGCAUCCGUAGCCGGCUGGACAAGUCCCCUGUUAAAUCCAGCGACCAAUCGUUGGUCUGCGGGGGAUACUGUCCGGCUAGGGGGCGGGAGAGGCCGUCGGUAUUCUUGGGGUAGGGGUGAAAUCCUAUAAUCCCAGGAGGACCACCAGUGGCGAAGGCUGUCGGCUAGAACGCGCCCGACGGUGAGGGAUGAAAGCUGGGGGAGCGAACC
rnacentral:rRNA from 1 species